rnacentral:rRNA from 1 species
ACGGGAGGCAGCAGUGGGGAAUAUUGGGCAAUGGGCGAAAGCCUGACCCAGCAACGCCGCGUGAAGGAAGAAGGUCUUCGGAUUGUAAACUUCUUUUAUGAGGGACGAAACAAAUGACGGUACCUCAUAAAUAAGCCACGGCUAACUACGUGCCAGCAGCCGCGGUAAUACGUAGGUGGCAAGCGUUAUCCGGAUUUACUGGGUGUAAAGGGCGCGUAGGCGGGAAUGCAAGUCAGAUGUGAAAUCUCUGGGCUCAACCCAGAAACUGCAUUUGAAACUGUAUUUCUUGAGUGCUGGAGAGGUAGAUGGAAUUCCUAGUGUAGCGGUGAAAUGCGUAGAUAUUAGGAAGAACACCAGUGGCGAAGGCGAUCUACUGGACAGUAACUGACGCUGAGGCGCGAAAGCGUGGGGAGCAAACAGGAUUAGAUACCCUGGUA